UUAUAAAAAUGUAUAAUUAAAGUAGCUGCAACGAUUAGUAAAAAAACAGCGUAGUUAACAAUUCAAAUUUCGCGGGAAGGAUUUAGCCGAAAAAUGGCGGCACCAAUCAAAAUCGAUACCGUAAUGUCGUGGCCGUGAUUGGAGGAUCUCUAGCGCGAUGGAGUCCGACGAAUUUCGAAUGCGGUAUGUAAUGGACGAAAAUGGGUUUGACGGAAAGUAGCGAGGAACGUUGGACGGUUUCCGUAAACAAAGCAUAUUACUUAGCGGAUCGGAAUGUCGGUCGGUUUUUCUUACGACCGUUUGUAUUUCUAGUCUCGGGGUUUAGAGUAAGCGCAGAAAUAAGUUUCAGGCAUUAACUCGGACUCUGUUCUUCCGGCCACGGGGACGUGAGUUGCCUGGCGAGCAUGGAAUAAUUUUCUCGGUCACAUUCUCCCAUAACACACUAUUCAUCGUGCACCGAUUAAGUUCUUAACCUUCGACGGACCGGUAUUACCAUAAGAGUAUCACACCAGGAUAUUCCACGCAUUCUGUAAGUUCGAAAUCAAGCCAAAUUUGUGAUCUUCCGUGUGUUUAAGGUUAUGGGAUUCCUUUGGAAAGUGGCCAUAUAGCGAGAGAGAGAGAGGAACACGGAAACAGACGAACAAGGAAACUUUUCGAAUUUGGAAAUAUUACCAAGUUUUCAAAUCUGGUGAUUUCAACUAGGAACAGAUUGGAAAUUCUGAAACUUUAAUUACUUCAAAUAAUUACACGAUUCACAUACAAAAAAAUUGCAAUAUAAAAAGUGCAAAGAGAGAGCUGAUCUACGAUGUUAAUAAUGAGGGAUAGUAAAUCUGUCGUCGAUAAAUGUCCAACUACUUUAGGUCAUUAUCUCGCGGAAACGUGUAGUUGGAUAAAGCCAUGUUUACUCGGACCAAACGAGAAGAGCUAUCGCGUGUGUAUACAAGUACGACAAACGAAAUGAUGCGUCAAAGUUCAGCGGGAAGAAGAAACAAGUAAGACGAGGAAGAAAAGCGGGGUUAAAGAGCUGGCAAACUCGAAAACUGCUUCGAGCACGUUUAGCUCGGGUUUCGUAUCGCCGGAAUGGCUAGGUGAACAUGUAUUUUGCGUGAAUCACAAAGCCGUGAAAGUCUUGUGGAAACAAUGCGCAUAACAAGCCAGCGAAAAAAAAGUGUCACGACAAAGGGAUCUGAAACACGACCAUGGUUCGCGUUACCGAUUCUGUUACACAUUAGGGUACAUGUACCAUUUGUGGCCACUUUAACGAUUUCCGUACCAUUUACCGAUAUAUGACCGAAAGAGAAUCACGUUGUAAGUCAUUUGAAAGCAUUUUUAGACAAUGUACCUAACAAUAAAAUUUAACAUGACAUGCA